rnacentral:rRNA from 1 species
AUUGAACGCUGGCGGCAUGCCUAACACAUGCACGUCGAACGAGUGGCGGACGGGUGAGUAAUGUAUGGGAAACUGCCUGAUGGAGGGGGCUAACUACUGGAAACGGUAGCUAAUACCGCAUACCAUCAGAUGUACCCAGAUGGGAUUAGCUUGUUGGUAGGGUAACGGCUCACCAAGGCGACGAUCCCUAGCUGGUCUGAGAGGAUGACCAGCCACACUGGGACUGAGACACGGCCCAGACUCCUACGGGAGGCAGCAGUGGGGAAUAUUGCACAAUGGGCGCAAGCCUGAUGCAGCCAUGCCGCGUGUAUGAAGAAGGCCUUCGGGUUGUAAAGUACUUUCAGUCGGGAGGCGUUACCCGCAGAAGAAGCACCGGCGAACUCCGUGCCAGCAGCCGCGGUAAUAC